rnacentral:rRNA from 1 species
UACGAAGGGGGCUAGCGUUGCUCGGAAUCACUGGGCGUAAAGCGCACGUAGGCGGAUUGUUAAGUCAGGGGUGAAAUCCUGGAGCUCAACUCCAGAACUGCCUUUGAUACUGGCGGCCUUGAGUCCGGGAGAGGUGAGUGGAACUGCGAGUGUAGAGGUGAAAUUCGUAGAUAUUCGCAAGAACACCAGUGGCGAAGGCGGCUCACUGGCCCGGUACUGACGCUGAGGUGCGAAAGCGUGGGGAGCAAACAGG